rnacentral:lncRNA from 1 species
GGUCGAGUCCCUCGAGACUCACCUAUAUCGCGAUUCGCUAUCUUGCUUACGACAUAGAGAUGUCACCGGUGACCUGAGGGCAUGGUAUGCUUGGUCGAGUCCCUCGAGGGUAUAUCAUCAAAUCAGACUCAUCUUGUAGCGAAGGUGUUGACUUAACCGAGCAUCAUGGUUGGUCGAGUCCCUCGAGGCCAUGGUGAUUCGGAGGCUGAACAGGACGGGAAUCACAAGGAGUUGUGAUCGGCAAGAGUUGCCUACCUUUUAGGCUUAGUGUGAUUGGUCGAGUCCCUCGAGGUUACACUAAGACGCUGAUUGGAUCCUGAUCCCCACUAGAAGUCUGCCGGAGACUUCCGUUUCACGUGCUGAGGGUGUCGCGUGACUCGUUAGUAAAAUAGUGGGAGCAUAUUAAGAUAGAAGUCCAUAUCUUGAUAGUUUAUUUCUUGCAAAAUCUGCAUGUUAUUCAUUUCUACUGCAUCUUUAUUUUCAGAAAAUAUCACUUUCAAAUCCCUUACGUGGCAUACUUGAUGUCAACCGCCUCACUGGUCCAAAUUAUACGGAUUAGCUCCGUAACUUGAGAAUUGUUCUCACAGCAGAGAAAAUCGUGUACGUCCUUGAUA